rnacentral:lncRNA from 1 species
UCAAGUGGAAUCUCUUAUUUAUCUUCAAGAUAAAAGUACAUAAAUCUACGGUUUUACAUACUCUCUCCAUAUAUAAAAGUACGAUGUUCUAGACAAAAAAAUUGAUGUUUUAUGAUAUAAUUAAUGCAUUUACUUUUAAAAUUAAAAUAUUAAUUAAAGAGUAAAAUUAGGAGUGGUAAGACUUUAUCUGUAAAACAAAAAGUAAUAAUCAAAUGAGUUUAUUUAUUGUUUUUUAAUAUGUGUGAGAAACUUUAAAUAUCAAUUUUAAAAAUAUACUUUAAGAGGAUGAUGCAUGUAUAACUUCUUUGUCAACUAUCAGGAUAUAAAUUGAUCUCAACAA